rnacentral:rRNA from 1 species
AUAAGCGGAGGAAAAGAAACUAACAAGGAUUCCCCUAGUAACUGCGAGUGAAGCGGGAAAAGCUCAAAUUUAAAAUCUGGCGGUUUUGCCGUCCGAGUUGUAAUCUGGAGAAGCGUUUUCCGCGUCGGACCGUGCACAAGUCUCUUGGAACAGAGCGUCAUAGAGGGUGAGAAUCCCGUCCAUGGCACGGACCGCCGAUGCUUUGUGAUACGCUCUCGAAGAGUCGAGUUGUUUGGGAAUGCAGCUCAAAAUGGGUGGUAAAUUCCAUCUAAAGCUAAAUAUUGGCGAGAGACCGAUAGCGAACAAGUACCGUGAGGGAAAGAUGAAAAGCACUUUGGAAAGAGAGUUAAACAGUACGUGAAAUUGUUGAAAGGGAAACGCUUGGAGUCAGUCGCGUCUUCUGGGACUCAGCCUUGCUUCGGCUUGGUGUACUUCCCGUUGGACGGGUCAACAUCGAUUUUGGUCGGUGGAUAAUGGUUGCAGGAAUGUGGCACCUUCGGGUGUGUUAUAGCCUGCUUCCGCAUACAUCGACUGGGAUCGAGGACCGCAGCGCGCCUUUAUGGCCGGGGGUUCGCCCCACGUAACGCGCUUAGGAUGUUGGCAUAAUGGCUUUAAGCGACCCGUCUUGAAACACGGACCAAGGAGUCUAACAUGCUCGCGAGUGUUAGGGUGGUAAACCCUUGCGCGUAAUGAAAGUGAAAGUUGGGACCGCCGCGAGGUGGGCACCGACGCCCGGCCCAGACGUUCUCUGACGGUGCCGCGGUAGAGCGCGUAUGUUGGGACCCGAAAGAUGGUGAACUAUGCCUGAAUAGGGCGAAGCCAGAGGAAACUCUGGUGGAGGCUCGUAGCGAUUCUGACGUGCAAAUCGAUCGUCAAAUUUGGGUAUAGGGGCGAAAGACUAAUCGAACCAUCUAGUAGCUGGU